rnacentral:rRNA from 1 species
UCCCUAGUGACCGAUAGUGAACCAGUACCGUGAGGGAAAGGUGAAAAGCACCCCGGAAGGGGAGUGAAAUAGAUCCUGAAACCGUGUGCCUACAACAAGUCAAAGCUCGUUAAUGAGUGAUGGCGUGCCUUUUGUAGAAUGAACCGGCGAGUUACGAUUGCAUGCGAGGUUAAGUCGAAGAGACGGAGCCGCAGCGAAAGCGAGUCUGAAUAGGGCGAAUGAGUAUGUAGUCGUAGACCCGAAACCAUGUGAUCUACCCAUGUCCAGGUUGAAGGUGCGGUAAAACGCACUGGAGGACCGAACCCACGUACGUUGAAAAGUGCGGGGAUGAGGUGUGGGUAGCGGAGAAAUUCCAAACGAACUUGGAGAUAGCUGGUUCUCUCCGAAAUAGCUUUAGGGCUAGCCUCGGAAUUGAGAAUGAUGGAGGUAGAGCACUGUUUGGACUAGGGGCCCAUCUCGGGUUACCGAAUUCAGAUAAACUCCGAAUGCCAUUCAUUUAUAUCCGGGAGUCAGACUGCGAGUGAUAAGAUCCGUAGUCGAAAGGGAAACAGCCCAGACCACCAGCUAAGGUCCCAAAAUAUAUGUUAAGUGGAAAAGGAUGUGGGGUUGCACAGACAACUAGGAUGUUGGCUUAGAAGCAGCCACCAUUUAAAGAGUGCGUAAUAGCUCACUAGUCGAGUGACCCUGCGCCGAAAAUGUACCGGGGCUAAACAUAUUACCGAAGCUGUGGACUACACCAUUAGGUGUAGUGGUAGGAGAGCGUUCUAAGGGCGUUGAAGGUCGAUCGUGAGGACGGCUGGAGCGCUUAGAAGUGAGAAUGCCGGUAUGAGUAGCGAAAGACAGGUGAGAAUCCUGUCCACCGUAUGACUAAGGUUUCCUGGGGAAGGCUCGUCCGCCC